rnacentral:rRNA from 1 species
CCCUUAGAUGUUCUGGGCCGCACGCGCGCUACACUGAUGCAUUCAACGAGUUUCUUCCUGGUCCGAGAGGAAUGGGUAACCUUUUGAAAGUGCUUCGUGAUAGGGAUAGACUAUUGCAAUUAUUGGUCUUCAACGAGGAAUUCCUAGUAGACGUAGUUCAUCAGACUGCAUCGAUUACGUCCCUGCCCUUUGUACACACCGCCCGUCGCUCCUACCGAUUGAAUGCUCAGGUGAGCCAUUCGGACUUUCAUCAUGCUGGUUUCCAGUUUUGAUGAAGGAAAGUCUUGCGAACCUUAUCAUUUAGAGGAAGGAGAAGUCGUAACA